CGGGCAUAUCGCCUUCAUAACACAAGUAAUAUUUAAAAUCACAACAACAAUGAAUUUGCAAGAAGUAAAAGGUACAAAAUCGCAGCACUGCAGGAUAAGUAAUUUAUCCAUAAACAAGAUGCAUCCUUACAAUUGAUGAAAUAAAAAGAAAGAACAUAAAAGGAGGUUUAAACAAGAAGAACAAACAAUAAUAAGUUGAGAAAGAACAUAAAAGGAGGUUUAAACAAGAAGAACAAACAAUAAUAAGUCGAGGGCAAAAAGGUAAAUACAAAAUUAAUUAGAAAAUAGUCGUGACAACAAUUCCUCAUUUACCUAUAAUGAAUGUAAGCCGCUGAUCAAGGGUAAUCUAAUGAAACAAAAUUAGGGAAGAGCCACACAUACAAAAAUAACAAUAUCUACUCCAACAGAAUAAGCAUUAAAAAAACAGGGUAAAAAUUCCAGAUAAAGAAUAAACCAACCACAAGACUGCAUAUAAACCACAGAGUAAGAAGAGAACUAUAGAUUGGCCUUCUUAACACAAUCUUAAGAAAACCAUAUAAAGCAAUUCAAACUUAAUUUAUUGCAAACAAUAACAAACCAAAUAAUUAAAUAAAAGAAAAAAGAAAGGCCAUAACAGUGAACCAAUCAACUAUCAAACAAGUCAUUCAGGUAGGAGAAGUGGGGGAAAAGGGAAAAACUUAUUCAAUUAGUGGAAAAGGG
rnacentral:lncRNA from 1 species